GGGCUCGUCCGGGAUUUGAACCCGGGACCUCUCGCACCAAAGCAAGAAUCAUACCCCUAGACCAACGAGCC
rnacentral:tRNA from 1 species